CCGGUCCUUGCCCCUCGUCACCUCGUGGUGGGUCAUUGGAUCACUGCUUCCUGCAACCUCCAACCGGGCGGGCGCGGGCCACUGGACCAGCGACACAUCCGGGGAGAAGAAAGCUCGGAGGAUCCGAACGACGCUGACGGCGAGGCCGUAACCGCAGAGCAGCGGUUGUUGGGAUCUCCUGCUCCUGGUCCUGGAUGCUGGCACUUGAAUUCCAGCAUGAGGUCAAAGAAGAUAUUUGGUUUAUCAAUUUCCCUUGUACUCAUCAACCUAGCUUCUAUAUUGGAACGAGCUGAUGAGAAUCUCCUCCCAGCUGUUUACAAGGAAGUGUUCUUGCUCUUCACUAUGACCGCCCUGCAGUGCUUGCGAUAGGGACUGCGUUCUGGGCUUUGUCAACGGGGGCUGUUGGUGUCAGCCAGUAUUUUGGGCAGGUUGCAUUCUGGAGAGCUAUUAAUGGUGUUGGGCUUGCCAUUGUAAUACCAGCUCUUCAAUCCUUCAUUGCUGAUAGUUACAAAGAUGGCACACGUGGAGCGGGAUUUGGUUUGCUAUCACUUAUUGGUUCAGUAGGUGGGAUAGGAGGUAGUGUUUUGGCAACCAUCGUGGCUGGAGGGGAUUAUUAUGGUUUUCCAGGAUGGCGGCUUGCAUUUAUAUCUGUUGCAUUUGUGAGCUUCUUAAUUGGACUUCUUGUAUACCUUUACACUGUUGAUCCUAGGAAAUUAUCUCCAAGCCAUUUUGGCGGUGGUGAGGACAAUGAGAGGUUACAUUUGGUCAGCAAUGGUAUCCUUCCUCCACAUUCCAUCUGGAAGGAUUCGUGGAUAGCGGCGAGAUCCGUAAUGAAAGUUCGGACCUUUCAAAUCAUUGUGUUGCAAGGCAUUGUUGGCUCUUUACCAUGGGCUGCUGUAGUUUUCUUCACCAUGUGGUUUGAACUCAUUGGUUUCGACAACAGCAGCUCAGCGGCGCUGAAUAGCUUUUUCGCUAUUGGGUGCGCCAGUGGAUCAUUUCUGGGUGGUGUGAUAGCAGAUGUCUUAUCUAGAUACUAUCCAGAUUCUGCUCGCGUCAUGUGCGCUCAGUUCAGCGCCUUCAUGGGCAUCCCUUUUUCAUGGAUCCUCCUCACAGUCAUUCCCCAGUCUGUUGAUUACUGGUCUGCCUAUGCCGUCACACUCUUUUUAAUGGGAAUUACCAUAAGCUGGUGCGCUACUUGUGCAAACAACCCCAUGUUCGCAGAGGUAGUCCCUCCCAAGCACCGCACAAUGAUCUACGCCUUUGACCGCGCAUUUGAGGGUUCAUUUGGCUCGCUUGCUGCACCUGCUGUUGGAUUAGUGACCGAAAAGAUCUAUGGCUACAAUGCAAAGGCCGUCGAUCUAUCACAUGGAUCAGUGGAUGGAGCUUAUGCACUCUCUAGAGGUCUAUUGACUAUGAUGAUUGUCCCUUUUGCUCUGUGCCUCAUGUUUUACACCCCACUGUAUACAGUGUUCAAGCGUGACCGAGAAAAUGCUAGAUUGGCCAGCAUCAAGGAGCAGGAACUUACUUGAAAAGCUUUCUAACAAGGAGUACUGAUGUAGUUUGGAUUACUAUAGUCUACAACACCGCC